AUAACGUAAUAGUAGUAAUUUUAUUUUAAUUUCGGAAGCGGGUCUGAAGUACAGUUGUAAUUGGAGUAGAGCGUAGAAGGAACUACAAAGUAUCCUUUCUUUGUUGUGUGUUUGGAGCUAAGCAGCAUGGAGAGCACAGACGAUAUAUCAUAUGUUAACCAGCAAGAAGCCAUAGAAAUUGAUCAGAUGUUGAUGGGUCCUCUUGGUUUUACUGUUGAUCAGCUCAUGGAAUUGGCAGGCUUGAGUGUUGCCUCUGCAAUUGGAGAGGUCUAUAGUUCAAGUGAAUAUACUCGCGUGCUUGUUAUAUGUGGUCCUGGUAACAAUGGUGGGAAUGGUCUUGUAGCUGCUCGACACUUACAUCACUUUGGUUAUAAGCCCUCCAUUUGUUAUCCAAAACGGAAUACCGAACCUCCCUUUGCUGGUUUAGUUACCCAGCUUGAGUCACUGUCAGUUCCAUUCUUGCCAGUGGAAGAUCUACCCGUGCAGCUUUCAAGUGACUUUGAAAUUAUAGUGGAUGCAAUUUUUGGAUUCUCAUUUCAUGGUAACCCAAGGCCACCGUUUGAUAGUCUCAUUAGAAGGCUGGUCUCCAUAAAAAACCAGCAGCGCACACAUGAAAAAGCAGCUGUGAUUAUAUCUGUAGACGUACCUUCCGGGUGGCACGUGGUAGAGGGAGACAUUUGUGGUGAAGGCAUUGAACCUGAUAUGCUGGUCUCUUUGACUGCUCCAAAAUUGUGUGCCAAAAUGUUUUGUGGCCUGCAUCAUUUUUUGGGUGGAAGAUUUGUUCCACGAUCUAUCAUAGACAAAUUCAAGUUAAAACUUCCACCAUAUCCCGGCACUUCCAUGUGUGUUCGAAUUGGAAAUUUUCCAGAAACCAAUUCAUCAGCACAGAAAGGGAUAUUUACAGCUUCUGUAAAUCUUGAGGUGGAGGAAAAUCCUAUUGAUCAGUUUCACAAGUGGCUUGGUGAUGCAUCGGAAGCUGGUGUCAAAGAACCCCAUUAUAUGGUCCUAUCAACAGCUGGUAAAGAUGCA
rnacentral:misc_RNA from 1 species